AUUGAACGCUGGCGGCAGGCCUAACACAUGCAAGUCGAGCGAGCGGCGGACGGGUGAGUAAUGUAUGGGGACUGCCCGAUAGAGGGGGAUAACUACUGGAAACGGUAGCUAAUACAGCAUACUAUCGGAUAACCCAUAUGGGAUUAGUUAGUAGGUGCGGUAAUGGCUAACCUAGGCGACGAUCCCUAGCUGGACUGAGAGGAUGAUCAGCCACACUGGGAUGGAGACACGGCCAUAACUCCUAUGGAGGCAGCAGGGGGUAAUAUUGCACAAUGGGCGCAAGCCUGUUGCAGCCAUGCCGCGUGUAUGAAGAAGGCCCACGGGUUGUAAAGUACUUUCAGUCGGGAGGCGUUACCGACAGAAGAAGCACCGGCUAACUCCGUGCCAGCAGCCGCGGUAAUAC
rnacentral:rRNA from 1 species